rnacentral:rRNA from 1 species
UACGGGGGGAGCAAGCGUUGUUCGGAUUUACUGGGCGUAAAGGGCGCGUAGGCGGCCAGCACAAGUCAGUUGUGAAAUCUCCGAGCUUAACUCGGAAAGGUCAACUGAUACUGUGCGGCUAGAGUGCGGAAGGGGCAACUGGAAUUCUUGGUGUAGCGGUGAAAUGCGUAGAUAUUAAGAGGAACACCUGCGGCGAAGGCGGGUUGCUGGGCCGACACUGACGCUGAGGCGCGAAAGCCAGGGGAGCGAACGGG